rnacentral:rRNA from 1 species
GGAGGGUGCAAGCGUUAAUCGGAAUUACUGGGCGUAAAGCGCACGCAGGCGGUCUGUCAAGUCGGAUGUGAAAUCCCCGGGCUCAACCUGGGAACUGCAUCCGAAACUGGCAGGCUUGAGUCUUGUAGAGGGGGGUAGAAUUCCAGGUGUAGCGGUGAAAUGCGUAGAGAUCUGGAGGAAUACCGGUGGCGAAGGCGGCCCCCUGGACAAAGACUGACGCUCAGGUGCGAAAGCGUGGGGAGCAAACAGGAUUAGAUACCCUGGUAGUCCACGCCGUAAACGAUGUCGACUUGGAGGUUGUGCCCUUGAGGCGUGGCUUCCGGAGCUAACGCGUUAAGUCGACCGCCUGGGGAGUACGGCCGCAAGGUUAAA